UCGACUCUGUGCCACUAAUAAUCACAGCCCUCUGAGCUCUGCCAGUCUGCCAGUUCUGAAUCCACCUCAGUGUCCACUCACCUUUCCCACACUUUCUAAGCUUUCUUACAAUAAGUUUGUGGGAGGCAAUGUCAAAGGACUUGCAGAAGUCGAAGUACACAACAUCCCUUGUUCGCGCCUCAUCUACCUAGCCAGUGAUGACAUCACAGAAGGCUACCAGGUUAUUCAAGCAUGAUUUCCCCAUGCUGAAGCUACGCUGACCACUCCUGAUACCCUCUUCUAAUUGCUUGGAGAUGACAUCCAGAACAAACUGUUUCAUCACCUUUCCAAGGACAGAGAUGUCUUAAUGAUUCGCUUUGUCAGUUCAGCGUGAAGACAUUUUUGUCUGGACAGCCUUGUGAGAAUGCUCCUUCAGCUUUUUUUAACCAUCAGAAUAGCAAGGAAGGACAGAGCCACCAGCCAAGGCUCCUGGGCAUCUGUAUGGAGUCACAUACAUGUGAAAUGAUAUCCCAAGCUAUCUGAAUUUGACCCAAGACUUCACGCCUGCUUGUUUAGAUGUGUGUCUGGAUAUCACUGCAGAAAUGAUAGCUGUAAGAAUACUCGGAGUUGUGCACAAAAGGCC
rnacentral:lncRNA from 1 species